rnacentral:misc_RNA from 1 species
UUAAGUUCAGCGGGUAUCCCCACCUGAUCCGAGGCCAACCUUGUAAAAAUGGGUCGGGGCGGCCACCGCCUGGCGCUCCGAGCGAGGGAUUUCUCUUGCUACGCUCGGGACCGGACGACGGCGCCCACGGGUUUCGGGCCCGUCCGCGAGGACAGGGCCCAUCACAGAGCAGGGCUCCAGGGUAGAAAUGGCGCUCGAAC